CCGCUGGAACCAUGAGCCGUACCUUUUGGAGAUGGCAACACAAAUACUGGAAACCCAAGCGGAUGGGAAUUGCCCCGUUCUUCCAGGCGGAAUGGUGUUCUUCUAUGCCAUCAACUGCGGCAAACGGAAGCACCACAGGACUACAA
rnacentral:lncRNA from 1 species